rnacentral:rRNA from 1 species
GGAUGCCUUGGCAGUCAGAGGCGAUGAAAGACGUUGUAGCCUGCGAUAAGCUCCGGGGAGUCGGCAAGCAGACUUUGAUCCGGAGAUCUCUGAAUGGGGGAACCCAGCCAGCAUAAGCUGGUUAUUACACACUGAAUACAUAGGUGUGUAAGGCGAACCAGGGGAACUGAAACAUCUAAGUACCCUGAGGAAUAGAAAUCAACCGAGAUUCCCUUAGUAGUGGCGAGCGAACGGGGACUAGCCCUUAAGUUGAUUUGAGAAUAGUGGAAGGCUCUGGAAAGUGCCGCCGUAGUGGGUGAUAGCCCCGUACANCNAAAUUCUCUUAUCAAUGAAAUCGAGUAGGACGGAGCACGANNNNACUUUGUCUGAAUAUGGGGGGACCAUCCUCCAAG